UACGGAGGGGGCGAGCGUUAUUCGGAAUUAUUGGGCGUAAAGGGCGCGUAGGCGGCUUGAUGUGUCAAAGGUGAAAUCCCUCGGCUCAACUGAGGAACUGCCUUUGAAACUGUCUGGCUUGAGGCCGGGAGAGGGUAGCGGAAUUCCCAGUGUAGCGGUGAAAUGCGUAGAUACUGGGAGGAACACCGGCGGCGAAGGCGGCUACCUGGACCGGUUCUGACGCUGAUGCGCGAAAGCGUGGGUAGCAAACAGG
rnacentral:rRNA from 1 species